ACGUACACCCCUACGGGAGGCAGCAGUGAGGAAUAUUGGACAAUGGGUGGAAGCCUGAUCCAGCCAUCCCGCGUGCAGGAAGACGGCCCUAUGGGUUGUAAACUGCUUUUAUCUGGGGAUAAACCUACUUACGUGUAAGUAGCUGAAGGUACCAGAAGAAUAAGCAACGGCUAACUCCGUGCCAGCAGCCGCGGUAAUACGGAGGGUGCAAGCGUUAUCCGGCUUUAUUGGGUUUAAAGGGUCCGUAGGCGGACUGAUAAGUCAGUGGUGAAAUCCGACAGCUUAACUGUCGAACUGCCAUUGAUACUGUUAGUCUUGAGUAAGGUUGAAGUGGCUGGAAUAAGUAGUGUAGCGGUGAAAUGCAUAGAUAUUACUUAGAACACCAAUUGCGAAGGCAGGUCACUAAGUCUUAACUGACGCUGAUGGACGAAAGCGUGGGGAGCGAACAGGAUUAGAAACCCUAGUAGUCCC
rnacentral:rRNA from 1 species